GGCAGCCUGUCUGGGAGCAGAAAUCCCAUAGACGGCAUCCCUGGGCCCUUCCGUGCUGCAGCAGGAACCAGUGCUCGUAGGAUGUCCCUGAACCGUGGGCACCGGGGCAGAGUCCUGAAAGUAACACCUUCAUGAAAUUCAAUAAGAAAAAUCUGGGCAGCCUUCGUGAAAUCUGAUUUAAUGAUCUAUUCUCAUCAUUAGAAGGGGGACUGCAGUUUGGAGCAAGGCUUGGGGGAGUUACUUUUCAGGAUUAAUUAAAUAAGCCACGUAUAUUUCUCCAUGGAGACCUGCCCUGUCUAUCUGCACGCCAGUUAAUCAGGGAAUUGUCAGGACCCCACCCCGGGUCAGCUCCCCACCCCGCUUUCCCUUGUCCCCAUCCCCUCCUCCAAACUGCGGUCACCUACCCAGGCCAGGCUGGCGCUGGGGGGCAGGGGAGCAGGUCCACACUCUGUGGCUUUGUGAGAACACAGGCGGCAGGCGCCCCUUUGCAUCCACAUUUCUCUCGCCGUCCCUCCUCAUGCCCUGCCUUUGAUGGUGAAAUGGAACUAGCUGAAACUCGGCUUCCUUCUGUGAAAACAGUAAAAAGGCACAGGCAAACAAGAAUAUGUGACCGUCACAGCGCAGCUGGGCUGACAGGCCUUCAAGUGGCUGGGAGUUCUUGUAAGGGAGGAUAAUUACAUUUUCAUUGUGUUAAAAAAGGAGGAAAUGGGGAAUAGGCCCACCAUCACUGCUUUGAACCUCCUCAAAUUUCAUUUCCUUCUGAAACUGUUGGGAGUCCCAGGCAGGCCUGUGGCUGGACUCAUGACACCCCCGUGGGUGGGUGGGUGAGAAGGUGCUCGGGGCCCUUCAGUGUGGGUGAACAAAACCCCCAGAGCCCCCGCCAGCUUCUGUGCAGGGCUCAGACCCCCAGCUGCUCACGAGGUGCUGACGGAAUGCCUCCCCCGUGAAGGUGUCGUUGGCGCGGAAGAAGAUGAACCUCAUUGAGGGGCGUGUUUCCAGCUCAGCAGCACCUGGGAUUUGUGCAGCCCGGGCCAGGGCGGAAGUGCGUUGAGGGGCUUCCCGGCGUGAGUUUGCAUUUGGGGACCCGAGGAACCCGUGGAAGGCGAGGGGAUUCCGUGUCGGUGUCAGUCCUGGGACCUCCCUGUGCAGAGGCUGGCGUGUUCCCACGCUCCCUCCGUCAGCAGGUGGGUCCCAGAGCCGGAUCCGCGGGGGGAGGGGGCAGGACGGAAGCCACGGGAGAGGCCCCAGGCCGGGCGAUCCAGCACCUGUCCGCGUGAACGCCACUGCAGCCUGAUUGUCAGUCAUUAAACAGAACAAGACUGCCGGGAAUCUCAACUGGAUAAUUCAAACAAUUAGAUUAACAGGGGUUUGUUUGGUCCUAACAUCACGGAGCGGAAGAACAGUAUUCGUGGCGUUAACUCUGAAAGUGUCUCGUUCCCAGGACUAAGCAGGGCAGCCUGUGAUUAGGAAAUAUUUGGCCACGGCAAUCCCCCCGCCUCUUCCCUGUAGGGUGGCCUCAGGGUCCUCCAGGGAGAGCCCACUCUGACAUCACACCCAGGACGGUCAUGCCUACACAUAGGCGGCUUCUUCGGGGUCUAAAAAAACAGCACAUUUUAAUGACACAACCACCUCUCUUCAUUAUGUCCUUAGCAAAAGCACCGUAAUUAUACACGUAGAACCUGAAAUCAAUAGGGGCCCUGUUUUGUAAUUUGAACUGUAAUUUACAAUGGUGAACCCUCCACGCUUCCAGGCAACAUGCAGAGAAGGUAAUUUCUAGAUAGAUGACAAGGGGUGCCUCCAGCAGCCUGGGUAGUCACAGUGUUCGAUAGUAAAAAAGAGGUUUGUAGCCCUGGUGGAAAGCUUCAAGUUAAGGAAGCCAAGAGAUUAAAUAAACAGAAAGUAGAUUUGAAAUACACACGGCAAACUGGCAAUCUGCCUUUGAGUGUUUCAAAAUCACGAACUAUAAAAGACUCUAACACACUCUGGUGUUUUUCAGACAAAGGUUGGGAUUUUCCUAACAUUUAGAAAUAGUUGGGAGCAUGUAUGUGAACUCCUGUGUUGAAACUGCUCUGCAUUCAUUUAGGCCUCUUAUCUUCAAGUCACCUUCUGGAGGACCUGGGCGUGUGUUUGGAAACGUCCCUCUGGAACCGCGUGACAAUCCUUAGGGUCCAGCUGCGUAGGUGCUAGGGAGUCUGGACCAAAUAGCUCCCACCGGUCUGGGUCCACUCUUCCUUGCUGAGGGGCGUCUGGAGAAAGGAGGAGCCUGCAUGGGGCGGGAGGCGGGGUCCUGCCUGGGCCUGGGGUUCUGCUGCCUCAGGGUCAGGACCCUGGGAACCCCACCUCCACCCACCAUGUCCUGCUCUGACUUUGCUCUUGGUGGGCGGCAGCGGGGACCGGGGGUCUCUCCGUGGCUCUGCCAGGCUGGGAAAUGCCUGCUCCACGUCUAGCUUCCUGCUACAGCCUCCCCAUCUUGGCCGUCAGCACCGCUCCAAGACCCAAAUACUGGGGCUGUGGGUGGAGAACCUGGCUGGAGGCAGUCAGGGCUGCACUGCUCAGCAACUUAAGGGGACUGAGUUGGCCUGGGGUUAGUUGCACAUUCACUACAGCUGCACAUUCCCAUUCUCUGCUUCCAAGGCAAGGAGAGGACUGUGCAUCCUCAGUGACCUGGUGCCUCACCCUGCUUCAGAGAAGCCUGUCCUUGCCCCCAAGCUGCUCUCCAUGGAGUUCUGUUUGCGCACAAGAGGUCCCUGUGAAGGAGUGUCCAUCAGGUCUGGACGUGCACCUGACCUCGCUGACUCAGAACGUGGUGACUAAGGAGCUGCCCACACCUGUCUUCAGCCAACCAAGCUCCUAACCAUCGGGGAUCCUGGGACUCAGGCCUGCCUUUGCUGGACACUUCCCUUCGGAUUUCCACCUGGCCACAUUCCACUCUUUCUUAAGGAUUCUGCUUAAAAGUCGUGUCCUCUAAGGCUCCCCGCUAGCCUUCCCCACCGUGAUGACAUCCAGGUAAGGCGCUUGGGGGUUUAAGGAGCAGAUGGAGCAGUGGGGCUGGGCACAGAUGUUGAGGCAGGGGUCGGGGCAGGAGCCAGGGAGUGUCAGCCUUUGACCCAGGAAGGAAGGGAGCCAUUGGAGGGAGCGUGUGGCCUGGUGACUGUGGUCGGGAGACCUCUUCCUCAAGCGAUAGUUGCGGUGGGCAUGUGAGGAGGAGUGGCUGGGGGCUGCUGCAUGGCCCCAAGUGGGGCAGGUGCCCCUGCAGUGGAGCUGCUUGCAGUUCCUGUCCCUGCCGUGUCAUGUGGCCUCCGCAGAGUGUGAGAGGGUCCCUUGCAACUCUGUCUAUGUGAUUUUGUAGUGUCUGCCCCAGGAACACCCUCCCAGUCAUAUAAGCCUCAAGCCCACAAGGCCUGGGCGCCUCUCCUGCUUCCCUGUGCCAUGUCCCCGGGGGACAAGGGCCCCACCUGCCAGCUUGUGGACUUCAGUCCCCAUCAGUGCUCACCCUACUGCAGCCCAUUCUCACUGCAAAAGCUCUUUCUUUUAUUUUAAAAAUGCAAUUUCUUCCAAAGCGAAUAACUCCAAAGCAGGAAGAGGGCAGUGGAGCUGAGAGGCACAGCUGUGCUGAGGACACCCCAUGGCUGGUGUGGACGCCCCGCUCCCAAUUCAUGUGCAGGGUGCUUCACGGGAGGGUUGGAAGGUGGUUAUAUCCGAAUGGCACUGUGGGGGAGGGACUGGCCUGCCUUUGCUUGGGCCCACAGCUGCAGCGUUUGCGUGCUGAAAGCCAUUGUUAUUCUAACUGUUGACAAGGGGCAGCUCCAGCACAGCUCUCAGCAGGAAGCCUGCUCCUCCCCUAGUGUCUCUGGCACCAUCACUGAACCAGUAUCUGCAGCAGCCAGCAAACUGACUAAUUACGGAUGAGCCCUUUGUUCCUGAUAACCCAGUGGCUCUCAUCUGGGGCAGGCCACGGGCAGAACAUUUCACCCAACAACAGCAGGAAACACGUUCUCUCCAUGUUCAUUUGGUACAAGGAAUACAUCCUAUUCCAGUGAUAAAAUAAGUCUCAGGAAAUUUUAAAGAAUGAAAUUAUACCAAGUAAGUUCUCCAGCAACACUGGAGUGAAAUUAGAAAUCUGUAAUGGAAGAAAACUUGGUAAAUUGGUCUAUAUGUGAAAAUUAGACAACAUAUUUCUGAACAAUAAAAUGGGUCAAGAAAAAAAUCAUAAGGGAAGUUAGAAAAUACUCUGAGACGGAUAAAAACAAAAGCAUAAUAUACCAGAAUUUAUGGGAUGCUGUGUCACAGGGAAAUUUAUUAUAGCCACAUACAUCUAGAUUAGACAAGAAGAAAUAUCUCAAGUCAUUAACCUAACUUUCCACCU